UCCUAAAUGACUGAGUCAAAGUGUUAGACUUUUAAUCUAAAUACGGCAGUUAGUUUUCUUGCCUUUAGGGGC
rnacentral:tRNA from 3 species